GGGCCGCGGUAUACUGACCGUGCGAAGGUAGCAUAAUCAUUAGUCUUUUAAUUGAAGGCUUGUAUGAAUGGUUGGACAAAAAGCAAACUGUCUCAGUUGUAAUAAUUGAAUUUAACUUUUGAGUGAAAAGGCUUAAAUAAGUUAGGGGGACGAUAAGACCCUAUAAAGCUUGACAAUAAGCCGUUUAUAUUAUAAAUUGUUAGUAUAACUUGAUUUUAAAUGGUGUUUGUUGCGUUGGGGCGACGAGAAUAUAAAAGAUAACUGUUCUUAUAAUAUUUAAUAACAGAAAUAGCUGGAAAAUUAAUGAUCCUUUCUUUAAGAUCAUAAGAUUAAGUUACUUUAGGGAUAACAGCGUAAUCUUUCUUGAGAGUUCAUAUCGACAGGAAGGGUUGCGACCUCGAUGUUGAAUUAAGGUAUCCUUAUAAUGCAGCAGUUAUAAAGGAAGGUCUGUUC
rnacentral:rRNA from 1 species